CCCAACCCACCGGCUCCCCUGGCGGCCCCAACUGCCACCCCGGCCCCUCCUCUUCGCCGUCACCCUUGGCAACCAGCUUCGCCCCAUUCGCCGCCUCCACCUCCUCCUCUUCCUCUUCCUCCUCGUCUCACGGGAACCCGGCCCUGUGUGCCAAGGCGGCCGGCGGCCUGACCAAUGGGAACGCGAAGCCCGUGUCCACGGCGACCUCGGGACCAAUCACGCCCUUCCACACUCCCGCCAGUCCCGCCGGCCGACAGGGACCACAGACCAAUCCGAUGGGGAUACCGGGUCUCGUGCGAGCCAAUCAGAGCCCGGCGCCCGUCAGGCAGGGGGUUUCCCAGCAGGCAUUGCUCUUAGGGAAAAGCCUCAAAGGGUCUGGCCAAGAUCAGGUGCUGCUCAGAGCCCAGAUGCUCUCUAUUCUCCAGUGAGGGCCGUCCCCCUGAGGCCACGGCUCAACCCCGCUAACGGCUACAGAGCCCCGCCCCCCCGGCCGAGCCCCGCCCUCCAAUCAGCCGCCCCCGCCGCACAGAACCCGCCCCUCCACAAGCCGCCGCCCUCCUCCCAAACCGGCCAAUCGCAGAAGAGCUCCGUCGCCGUGGGCGCCGUGCUCUCCCGCUUCGACCGGACGCCGUCGGCCGCGCGCCAGCUGCAGAUCAUCGCGCUGUCCUCCGGUCGCCAGGGGCAACACGCCCCCGCCGCCGGCAGCUCCAAGGCCGCCGUCCAAUCACAGUCAGCGGAUCCCCGCUGGCGGAGCCGCCGCCGCCGCCACCGCCCGCGGAGAGAAACCAGCGGGGGCGACCGGG
ensembl:lncRNA